UACGUAGGCAGCAAGCGUUGUUCGGAGUUACUGGGCGUAAAGGGUGUGUAGGCGGUCUUCUAAGUUUGGUGUGAAAUCUCCCGGCUCAACUGGGGAGGGUCGUGCGAUACGGUCGGACUCGAGGCCAGUAGGGGGACGCGGAAUUCCGGGUGUAGUGGUGGAAUGCGUAGAGAUCCGGAGGAACACCAGCGGCGAAGGCGGCGUCCUGGACUGGUACUGACGCUCAGGAGCGAAAGCGUGGGGAGCGAUCCGG
rnacentral:rRNA from 1 species